GCCACCGCCAUCUUGGACUCAGAGGUCCUGCAGCAGAUCUGCGCUAAAAACUCUGGUCAGAAGGCGCUGGUUUCCAGGAUUGUGCGUGCUGCGCCGUAUGAACCCAAGGAAAAGAAACAAAAGGUGCAGAGAUCAAGAUCUUUUACACACUGUAAAAGCUGGUGAUUACAGAGCAGAUCAAGAAAUAAGAAAAGUUGGAGGCUCAGCCAGGCAAGACCCUUGUCAUAAGAGUGCAAGGGAAAAUGUGUUUUGUGAAUCCUGUGCCGUAUUUGUGGAUCCAGUGCCAGCGUGGGCUAUAGAUGGUCUUCCUUUGCAAGGACCUUUCCAGCAGAGUUUCUUGAGACACGUUUUUUGGUAAUGUGGUCCAAUGUUGCUGUAGUGUUAGCCAUUUGAUUCCAAGUCAUUUUUGCAUCCUUCGAGUAAAACAAAGUCAAUGAAUGGAGACUAUAAAUAAUAUCAAAGAGAAAUAGAACUUGUACAUUAAAGGUGCCUGUCCUGCAGAUGUUCCACUUGUGAAUGGAACUCAUUUGUUGGAGAGAGUUCAUGAAGCAGGAAGAGAGGCAGUGAAGGGGGCUGAGUAAUACCGUUGCUCUUUGGAAGACAGGAAGAAUUGCCUUGAUACUCCAACAAGGAAGGGAGAAGGAGACGUGAUGUGUGUGGAGGGGAAGAAGAAAAGGAGUGUUUAGAAGCAGCAAGAUUUUGAAUUGUUUCCAACUUCCAAGCUAGAGUUUGGGCAAAGAACUUAAAAGUUCUCCACAUCCCCAUGCCCACCUUGGCUGGGCCUUUUCUUGUGAAUUUCACAGAUAGGGCCAUGACGACCUAUAGCAUCUACUUGAGUGUCUAAAUUAGCAUCUCAUCAGGAUGACCUCUGCCCACAGGGCCUUGAAGGGAACCUGUUUACAAGGCGGAGGGAAGCAGAGAGGGGCCAGAUUCAUUGAUGGUGUGAGCAGGAUAAAGGCAGGCUCUGAACUGAAUGUUUGUGUCCUCCAACCUCCAAAAUCAUAUGUUGCAAUCCUAACCUCCACUAUGACGGUGUUAGGAGGUGGUGCCUUUGAGAGGCGAAGAGGUCAUGAGAAUGGGGCCCUCGUGAAUGGGAUUAGUGCCCUUAUAAGAACAUAGAAGAGAGCGUUUGCUUCCUCUCCGUCUGCUCUCCACUGUGUAAGGAUACAACGAGAAGAUGAACUUCUAUAAAUCAGGAAGUGGGCUCUCACAAGACACUGUGUGCUGGCACCUUGACUGGGGACUUGCCAGCCUUCAGAACUGUCGGAAAUGUUUGUUGUUUAAGACACUGCGUCUGUGGUAAUUUGUUAAGGCAGCCUGAGCUAAGACGCUGUACAAGGCUUAAUUAAUAAAGAGAAGAAAAAGAAACCUCCCUUGAUGGAGCUCCAUACACCUGUUCUGAUAUAGCUGCUGGAGUCCUCGGAUAGUAACUCCAGGUUCUGAGGUCAGGUUCUCUUUCUGCCAAGAACAAAAUAUUUGGCUUAAAAAGUCAACUUACUUAAUUGCAAAACACAGUUUAUUCAUCCUUAUUCCCAUGGACCUAUAUUCUCUAGAACUAUCAUAAGGGUCAAGGAGAUGAGGAAAAGGCGCUUUGAAAAGCAUAUUGUUAAUCAGGUAGUUCUUGGGACCUCACCCAGAUCAGCUAAAGAGAGGCCUGUGCCUGCUCCCACCCACUGCACACCCACCCACAACUCACCCCACUCACUCCUUUCCCAAGCCCCUGGGUUGCUCUCUUGCCGUACAUUAUUAUUAUUUUUUUGCAUUGCGCAUUUGAUUGGAUUUAUAUACUUAAUAGACAGUAGUGCCUCAUAAGGAUAGCAGCCAGCCCAGAGUGGCCCUCAAUGAAUAUGUAAUGAAUAACAAAUGAGUAGGAGAAAGCAAGAAGAAGGGAAUGAUGAGAAUGUGGGGCAGGUGGUAGAGUCCCUUUCCACUGCCUGGAGUAAACUCCAUUUUCACUCUUUUGGGGAGAUUUCUUUAUCUUCAGCCUGGACCUUUGCUCUUGGAAGGGGAUGGUCUUAGAACCUUGUGCACCCUCACACGUAGGCCGUGAGGAUCAGAAGGCCACCCUCACGCCUGGUCUUACGUGGUACAGAGGAAACCACUUUCCCUCUAAUACCCUUUCCCCAGGGAAGCUUGGUUCAAAGAGCGGUGAUCUUUGGGGAAUCCAUUAAUCCGUGAAGUAUGGUAUUGUGUCACCUCCCUCACUGGCUGUCUUUCUGCCAUGCAGAGGUAUCAAGCUGGUAGCAGGUAAUGGUAAUUUGCCAUAGCAGACUAAGCUAAGACACUAUCCAGGGUAUUAAUGAAGAAAAAAGAAAAGGAAACAUCCCUUGAUGGAGCUCCAUAUAGUUGUUCUGAUGUAGCGGACCGUGACACUGAACGUAACACUGGACAACUGAAUACACAAAUGAGGUCGGGGAUACACAAAGAAAGCCGAGAAAACAGGAGAAUUCAUGGAAGUUGUGCAGUGUGAUAGCUGUAGGUGGAGAUGGAUGGUUUUAGUACUUCGAGCCACUCAGCAGUCUUACGUGGGGUUUGGCUCUAACCCUGCUCUGCCGCCCUUGCUGCCAGGGCUCAUAGGAUGAAUCUGAUCAGCCUCCAAAGGAAAAUGCUGAGCACACAGACUGCAAAUUAGACCCACGGUGAGACCUGUGAGCUGCCAGAGCCCCUCCACUUGUGCCACCUUUUGAGAAUCAAGAAUCCUAAAAUAAGCACUCCAUGCCCCCUGCAACUGCUCUCCUUGGCUCCCUCCCACUGUCUCUCCUCCAGCCUCUCCCUGGAGCCAGGCAGUGGCAGGUCCUGGCGGGGAGGAAGAAGGUCCUCUGAGUCAGGGCUCAG